rnacentral:rRNA from 1 species
GAUGGAGCAAUACCAUGUGAACGAUGAAGGCCUUUUUGGUUGUAAAGUUCUUUUACGAGGGAUAAUUAUGAUAGUACUUCGUGAAUAAGUGACAGCUAACUAUGUGCCAGCAGCUGCGGUAAUACAUAGGUCGCGAGCAUUAUUCGGAUUUAUUGGGCGUAAAGCAAGCGCAGGCGGAUGUGUAAGUUCUGUGUUAAAUGCAGCUACUCAAUAGUUGUAUGCACCGAAUACUACAUGUCUAGAUUGUGGUAGGGAGUUUCGGAAUUAAGCAUGGAGCGGUGGAAUGUGUAGAUAUGCUUAAGAACACCAGAGGCGAAGGCGGAAACUUAGGCCAUAAAUGACGCUUAGGCUUGAAAGUGUGGGGAGCAAAUGGGAUUAGAUACCCCAGUAGUCCACACCGUAAACGAUGGGUAUUAGAUAUUAGGGCUUUAGCUUUAGUGUUGUAGCUUACGCGUUAAAUACCCCGCCUGGGUAGUACAUAUGCAAAUAUGAAACUCAAAGGAAUUGACGGGGACCUGAACAAGUGGUGGAGCAUGUUGCUUAAUUCGAUAAUACACGAAAAACCUUACCAAGGUUUGACAUCCCUCGC